rnacentral:rRNA from 1 species
UAGGGAAUCUUCGGCAAUGGGGGGAACCCUGACCGAGCAACGCCGCGUGAGUGAAGAAGGUUUUCGGAUCGUAAAGCUCUGUUGUUAAGGAAGAACGAGUGUGAGAAUGGAAAGUUCAUGCUGUGACGGUACUUAACCAGAAAGGGACGGCUAACUACGUGCCAGCAGCCGCGGUAAUACGUAGGUCCCGAGCGUUGUCCGGAUUUAUUGGGCGUAAAGCGAGCGCAGGCGGUUAGAAAAGUCUGAAGUGAAAGGCAGUGGCUCAACCAUUGUAGGCUUUAGAAACUGUUUAACUUGAGUGCAGAAGGGGAGAGUGGAAUUCCAUGUGUAGCGGUGAAAUGCGUAGAUGUAUGGAGGAACACCGGUGGCGAAAGCGGCUCUCUGGUCUGUAACUGACGCUGAGGCGCGAAAGCGUGGGGAGCGAACAGG